CGCCAGAUCGUUUACCGUGAGUCCCCUAGCUUCUUGGGAGAAGAAUACAUUAGCAUGGGAUAAUGGAAUAGGACCCUGUCCUCCUAUUUUCAGUUGGUUUUGGCAGCGCGAGGACUAGGGUAAUGAUUAAUAGGGAUAGUUGGGGGCAUUAAUAUUUAAUUGUCAGAGGUGAAAUUCUUGGAUUUAUGAAAGAUUAACUUCUGCGAAAGCAUCUGCCAAGGAUGUUUUCAUUAAUCAAGAACGAAAGUUAGGGGAUCGAAGACGAUCAGAUACCGUCGUAGUCUUAACCAUAAACGAUGCCGACCAGCGAUUAGGAGACGUUGAAUACAAAACACCACCAUCGGUGCGGUCGUCCUUGGCGUCGGUUUCGGCCGGCGCGGGGGCGGCUUAGCCCGGUGGCACCGGUGAAUGACUCCCCUACAACCUUUGUGAGAA
rnacentral:rRNA from 1 species